rnacentral:rRNA from 1 species
UCGGGAAUUUUGGGCAAUGGGCGAAAGCCUGACCCAGCAACGCCGCGUGAAGGAUGAAGUAUUUCGGUAUGUAAACUUCGAAAGAAUAGGAAGAAUAAAUGACGGUACUAUUUAUAAGGUCCGGCUAACUACGUGCCAGCAGCCGCGGUAAUACGUAGGGACCAAGCGUUGUUCGGAUUUACUGGGCGUAAAGGGCGCGUAGGCGGCAAUUCAAGUCAUCUGUGAAAUCUCCGGGCUUAACUCGGAACGGUCAGAUGAUACUGCUUUGCUAGAGUGCAGAAGGGGCAAUCGGAAUUCUUGGUGUAGUGGUGAAAUGCGUAGAUAUCAAGAGGAACACCUGAGGUGAAGACGGGUUGCUGGGCUGACACUGACGCUGAGGCGCGAAAGCCAGGGGAGCAAACGGGAUUAGAUACCCCCGUAGUCCCUGAGCGGGCUGGCAAGGCGCAU